rnacentral:tRNA from 1 species
GCACCCGUAGCUCAGCCGGAUAGAGCGCUACCUUCCGACGGUAGAGGUCGCAGGUUCGACUCCUGUCGGGUGCACCA